GACCACUCCGGUGGCCUAGUGUUGAAAGCGUCCGUUUCGGAUGCGGAAGGUUGCGGGUUCGAAUCCCGGUCGAGUCA